rnacentral:rRNA from 1 species
GGAGUCUGGUCCGUGUCUCAGUACCAGUGUGGGGGACCUUCCUCUCAGAACCCCUACGCAUCGCUGACUCGGUGAGCCGUUACCUCACCGACUAUCUAAUGCGCCGCAUGCCCAUCACUUACCGAAUCGCUUCUUUCAACUCUACGCGAUGCCACGCAGAGUGUUAUGGGGGUAUUAGGCCAAAUUUCUCUGGGUUAUCCCCCUGUAAGUGGCAGGUUGCAUACGUGUUACUCACCAGUGCGCCGGUCGCCAUCAGGCGGUAUUGCUACCGCCUAUGCUGCCCCUCGACUUGCAUGUGUUAAGCCUGUCGCUAGCGUUCAUC